rnacentral:misc_RNA from 1 species
UGUGGGAGCUGGCUUGCCUGCGAAAGCAUCACCUCGGUGUGCCUGAUGCCCCGAGUCGUCUGUAUCGCAGGCAAGCCAGCUCCCACA